rnacentral:misc_RNA from 1 species
GAUGAAGAACGCAGCGAAAUGCGAUAAGUAAUGUGAAUUGCAGAAUUCAGUGAAUCAUCGAAUCUUUGAACGCACAUUGCGCCCCCUGGUAUUCCGGGGGGCAUGCUUGUUCGAGCGUCAUUUCACCACUCAAGCCUCGCUUGGUAUUGGGCAACGCGGUCCGCCGCGUGCCUCAAAUCGACCGGCUGGGUCUUCUGUCCCCUAAGCGUUGUGGAAACUAUUCGCUAAAGGGUGUUCGGGAGGCUACGCCGUAAAACAACCCCAUUUCUAAGGUUGACCUCGGAUCAGGUAGGGAUACCCGCUGAACUUAAGCAUAUCAAUAAGCGGAGGA